rnacentral:rRNA from 1 species
UAUACCGUGAAACUGCGAAUGGCUCAUUAAAUCAGUUAUCGUUUAUUUGAUAGUACCUUACUACUUGGAUAACCGUGGUAAUUCUAGAGCUAAUACAUGCUGAAAACCCCGACUUCGGAAGGGGUGUAUUUAUUAGAUAAAAAACCAAUGCCCUUCGGGGCUCCUUGGUGAUUCAUAAUAACUUCUCAGAUCGCAUGGCCUUGCGCCGGCGACGGUUCAUUCAAAUUUCUGCCCUAUCAACUUUCGAUGGUAAGGUAUUGGCUUACCAUGGUUUCAACGGGUAACGGGGAAUUAGGGUUCGAUUCCGGAGAAGGAGCCUGAGAGACGGCUACUACAUCCAAGGAAGGCAGCAGGCGCGCAAAUUACCCAAUCCCGACACGGGGAGGUAGUGACAAUAAAUACUGAUACAGGGCUCUUUUGGGUCUUGUAAUUGGAAUGAGUACAAUUUAAACCUCUUAACGAGGAACAAUUGGAGGGCAAGUCUGGUGGACUUCAGCUCCCACUGCUGACGCCAGCGAUAGUCGGGCACCGCGAGGUGUUAUACCGGCUAGUCGAGUACCUAUUUCAUGAUGGGCAGGUACCGGCAAGACAACCUGGAUCGGGGGAGGCUAAGGCAUCUCAAUGCUACGUUAAUCCCGAGCAGAGCUACCGUGAAGCGAUUUGCGGAUAGCCUGUGUAGAGCGCGGAAAGGUGUCGGCCAGCUCUCGUAGCUGGCUUAAGGGACGUGCCAUUACCACCCGAAAGGGUGGCUGCCAGCAUAAGCGCCCAUCACGCAAGGGCUGGCAGGUUCCAACUGCUGCGAAGAACAGUUGUUUGGGGUGUGUUAUAGGCCAGCAGCCGCGGUAAUUCCAGCUCCAAUAGCGUAUAUUAAAGUUGUUGCAGUUAAAAAGCUCGUAGUUGAACCUUUGGCCUGGCUGGCAGGUCCGCCUCACCGCGUGCACUUGUCCGGCCGGGCCUUUUCUUCUGGAGAACCGCAUGCCCUUCACUGGGUGUGUUGGGGACCAGGACUUUUACUUUGAAAAAAUUAGAGUGUUCAAAGCAGGCCUUUGCUCGAAUAUGUUAGCAUGGAAUAAUAGAAUAGGACGUGCGGUCCUAUUUUGUUGGUUUCUAGGACCGCCGUAAUGAUUAAUAGGGACAGUCGGGGGCAUCAGUAUUCAAUUGUCAGAGGUGAAAUUCUUGGAUUUAUUGAAGACUAACUACUGCGAAAGCAUUUGCCAAGGAUGUUUUCAUUAAUCAGUGAACGAAAGUUAGGGGAUCGAAGACGAUCAGAUACCGUCGUAGUCUUAACCAUAAACUAUGCCGACUAGGGAUCGGGCGGUGUUAUUAUUUUGACUCGCUCGGCACCUUACGAGAAAUCAAAGUGU